rnacentral:rRNA from 1 species
GAUCAUGGCUCAGGAUGAACGCUAGCUACAGGCUUAACACAUGCAAGUCGAGGGGCAGCAUUUUAGUUUGCUUGCAAACUAAAGAUGGCGACCGGCGCACGGGUGAGUAGCACGUAUCCAACCUGCCGAUAACUCUGGGAUAGCCUUUCGAAAGAAAGAUUAAUACCGGAUGGCAUAGGAUUAUCGCAUGAUAAUCCUAUUAAAGAAUUUCGGUUAUCGAGUGGGGAUGCGUU